CACGUAGGAUUCGAGCGUUAUCCGAAUUUACUGGGCGUAAAGCGCGUGCAGGCGGUUUGGUAAGUUGGAUGUGAAAGCUCCUGGCUCAACUGGGAGAGGCCGUUCAAAACUACCAGACUAGAGGACAGUAGAGGAAGGUGGAAUUUCCGGUGUAGUAGUGAAAUGCGUAGAUAUCGGGAGGAACACCAGUGGCGAAGGCGGCCUUCUAGACUGUUUCUGACGCUUAGACGCGAAAGCUAGGGUAGCGAACGGG
rnacentral:rRNA from 1 species